UACGGAGGGUGCAAGCGUUAUCCGGAUUCACUGGGUUUAAAGGGUGCGUAGGCGGGCAGAUAAGUCAGUGGUGAAAUACCUGGCUUAACUUGGGAACUGCCAUUGAUACUAUUUGUCUUGAAUGUCGUGGAGGUUAGCGGAAUAUGUCAUGUAGCGGUGAAAUGCUUAGAGAUGACAUAGAACACCUAUUGCGAAGGCAGCUAACUACGCGAAUAUUGACGCUGAGGCACGAAAGCGUGGGGAUCAAACAGG
rnacentral:rRNA from 1 species